UGGGGAAUAUUGGUCAAUGGGCGCAAGCCUGAACCAGCGACGCCGCGUGAGUGAUGAAGGCCUUCGGGUUGUAAAGCUCUGUGGGGAGGAAAGAAAAAGUUUUGGUCAAAUAGGCCAAGACCUUGACGGUACCUCCUUAGCAAGCACCGGCUAACUCUGUGCCAGCAGCCGCGGUAAGACAGAGGGUGCAAACGUUGCUCGGAAUCACUGGGCGUAAAGCGCAUGUAGGCGGAUUGGUAAGCCAGAUGUGAAAUCCCUAUGCUCAACGUAGGAACUGCAUUUGGAACUGCCAGUCUUGAGUAGUGGAGAGGAAAGUGGAAUUCCUGGUGUAGAGGUGAAAUUCGUAGAUAUCAGGAGGAACACCGGUGGCGAAGGCGGCUUUCUGGACACUAACUGACGCUGAGAUGCGAAAGCGUGGGGAGCAAACAGG
rnacentral:rRNA from 1 species